rnacentral:rRNA from 1 species
UACGUAGGGUGCAAGCGUUGUCCGGAAUUAUUGGGCGUAAAGAGCUCGUAGGCGGUUUGUCGCGUCUGCUGUGAAGUCCCGAGGCUCAACCUCGGGCCUGCAGUGGGUACGGGCAGACUAGAGUGCGGUAGGGGAGAUUGGAAUUCCUGGUGUAGCGGUGGAAUGCGCAGAUAUCAGGAGGAACACCGAUGGCGAAGGCAGAUCUCUGGGCCGUAACUGACGCUGAGGAGCGAAAGCGUGGGGAGCGAACAGG